rnacentral:rRNA from 1 species
CCUACGGGAGGCAGCAGUGGGGAAUAUUGCACAAUGGGGGAAACCCUGAUGCAGCGACGCCGCGUGAGCGAUGAAGUAUUUCGGUAUGUAAAGCUCUAUCAGCAGGGAAGAAAAUGACGGUACCUGACUAAGAAGCCCCGGCUAACUACGUGCCAGCAGCCGCGGUAAUACGUAGGGGGCAAGCGUUAUCCGGAUUUACUGGGUGUAAAGGGAGCGUAGACGGCAGCACAAGUCUGGAGUGAAAUGCCGGGGCUUAACCCCGGAACUGCUUUGGAAACUGUGCAGCUAGAGUGCAGGAGAGGUAAGUGGAAUUCCUAGUGUAGCGGUGAAAUGCGUAGAUAUUAGGAGGAACACCAGUGGCGAAGGCGGCUUACUGGACUGUGACUGACGUUGAGGCUCGAAAGCGUGGGGAGCAAACAGGAUUAGAUACCCGAGUAGUC